GAUGAACGCUAGCGGGAGGCCUAACACAUGCAAGCCGAGCGGUAUUUGUUCUUCGGAACAGAGGGAGCGGCGUACGGGUGCGGAACACGUGUGCAACCUACCUUUAUCAGGGGGAUAGCCUUUCGAAAGGAAGAUUAAUACCCCAUAAUAUAUUGAAUGGCAUCAUUUGAUAUUGAAAACUCCGGUGGAUAGAGAUGGGCACGCGCAAGAUUAGAUAGUUGGUAGGGUAACGGCCUACCAAGUCAGUGAUCUUUAGGGGGCCUGAGAGGGUGAUCCCCCACACUGGUACUGAGACACGGACCAGACUCCUACGGGAGGCAGCAGUGAGGAAUAUUGGACAAUGGGUGAGAGCCUGAUCCAGCCAUCCCGCGUGAAGGACGACGGCCCUAUGGGUUGUAAACUUCUUUUGUAUAGGGAUAAACCUUUCCACGUGUGGAAAGCUGAAGGUACUAUACGAAUAAGCACCGGCUAACUCCGUGCCAGCAGCCGCGGUAAUACGGAGGGUGCAAGCGUUAUCCGGAUUUAUUGGGUUUAAAGGGUCCGUAGGCGGAUCUGUAAGUCAGUGGUGAAAUCUCAUAGCUUAACUAUGAAACUGCCAUUGAUACUGCAGGUCUUGAGUAAAGUAGAAGUGGCUGGAAUAAGUAGUGUAGCGGUGAAAUGCAUAGAUAUUACUUAGAACACCAAUUGCGAAGGCAGGUCACUAUGUUUUAACUGACGCUGAUGGACGAAAGCGUGGGGAGCGAACAGGAUUAGAUACCCUGGUAGUCCACGCCGUAAACGAUGCUAACUCGUUUUUGGGUCUUCGGAUUCAGAGACUAAGCGAAAGUGAUAAGUUAGCCACCUGGGGAGUACGUUCGCAAGAAUGAAACUCAAAGGAAUUGACGGGGGCCCGCACAAGCGGUGGAUUAUGUGGUUUAAUUCGAUGAUACGCGAGGAACCUUACCAAGGCUUAAAUGGGAAUUGACAGGUUUAGAAAUAGACUUUUCUUCGGACAAUUUUCAAGGUGCUGCAUGGUUGUCGUCAGCUCGUGCCGUGAGGUGUUAGGUUAAGUCCUGCAACGAGCGCAACCCCUGUCACUAGUUGCCAUCAUUCAGUUGGGGACUCUAGUGAGACUGCCUACGCAAGUAGAGAGGAAGGUGGGGAUGACGUCAAAUCAUCACGGCCCUUACGCCUUGGGCCACACACGUAAUACAAUGGCCGGUACAGAGGGCAGCUACCUAGCGAUAGGAUGCGAAUCUCGAAAGCCGGUCUCAGUUCGGAUUGGAGUCUGCAACUCGACUCUAUGAAGCUGGAAUCGCUAGUAAUCGCAUAUCAGCCAUGAUGCGGUGAAUACGUUCCCGGGCCU
rnacentral:rRNA from 1 species